rnacentral:rRNA from 1 species
UACGAAGGGGGCUAGCGUUGUUCGGAAUCACUGGGCGUAAAGGGCGCGUAGGCGGCCGAUCAAGUCGGGGGUGAAAGCCUGUGGCUCAACCACAGAAUUGCCUUCGAUACUGGUUGGCUUGAGACCGGAAGAGGUAAGUGGAACUGCGAGUGUAGAGGUGAAAUUCGUAGAUAUUCGCAAGAACACCAGUGGCGAAGGCGGCUUACUGGUCCGGUUUCUGACGCUGAGGCGCGAAAGCGUGGGGAGCAAACAGG